rnacentral:rRNA from 1 species
AACGAACGCUGGCGGCAUGCCUAACACAUGCAAGUCGAACGAGACCUUCGGGUCUAGUGGCGCACGGGUGCGUAACGCGUGGGAACCUGCCCUUAGGUUCGGAAUAACUCCCCGAAAGGGGUGCUAAUACCGGAUAAUGUCUUCGGACCAAAGAUUUAUCGCCUUUGGAUGGGCCCGCGUUGGAUUAGCUAGUUGGUAGGGUAAAAGCCUACCAAGGCGACGAUCCAUAGCUGGUCUGAGAGGAUGAUCAGCCACACUGGGACUGAGACACGGCCCAGACUCCUACGGGAGGCAGCAGUGGGGAAUAUUGGAUAAUGGGCGAAAGCCUGAUCCAGCAAUGCCGCGUGAGUGAUGAAGGCCUUAGGGUUGUAAAGCUCUUUUACCCGGGAUGAUAAUGACAGUACCGGGAGAAUAAGCUCCGGCUAACUCCGUG